GGCAGUUCUCUGGUGAUGCACCCCAGAAUCGAGCUCCCUCCUCUCUGGUUCUGGGUACAUCACCUGGGAACCGCA
rfam:Myotis davidii contig174451, whole genome shotgun sequence.